GAACCGUGCAAACGUUGUUCGGAAUCACUGGGCUUAAAGGGCGCGUAGGCGGACCGCCAAGUCUGUGGUGAAAGCCUCCAGCUCAACUGGAGAAGUGCCGUGGAUACUGGUGGCCUCGAGGAGGGUAGGGGCAUCUGGAACAGUAGGUGGAGCGGUGAAAUGCGUUGAUAUCUACUGGAACUCCGGUGGCGAAGGCGAGGUGCUGGACCCUUUCUGACGCUGAGGCGCGAAAGCCAGGGGAGCAAACGGGAUUAGAUACCCCGGUAGUCCUGGCCCUAAACGUUGAGGACUAGGUAGUGGACUUACAUGGGUUCACUGCCGAAGCAAAAGUGCUAAGUCCUCCGCCUGGGGAGUAUGGUCGCAAGGCUGAA
rnacentral:rRNA from 1 species